rnacentral:misc_RNA from 1 species
GCCGUCAUCCUGUUCGGACCGCGUUCGGUUUAACCACCCAAAACAAAAAAGCCCCGUCCGAUGACGGGGCUUUUUCGCUCGCAUCAUCCGGCGCCGCUGUUCAGCGCGCCGUUACUCGAUGACGCGAAUACGCCGGGUGCGCGGCUCGACGAUCACACGCCGAUCAUUCACCACCGCAUAGUUAUACUCGGUGUGGCUCGGCACCGGACGCAGUUCGACAUAAUCCGGCAGCGGCUCACCA